AUUGAACGCUGGCGGCAGGCUUAACACAUGCAAGUCGAGCGGGGUGAUGGUGCUUGCACUAUCACUUAGCGGCGGACGGGUGAGUAAUGCUUAGGAAUCUGCCUAUUAGUGGGGGACAACAUCUCGAAAGGGAUGCUAAUACCGCAUACGUCCUACGGGAGAAAGCAGGGGAUCACUUGUGACCUUGUGCUAAUAGAUGAGCCUAAGUCGGAUUAGCUAGUUGGUGGGGUAAAGGCCUACCAAGGCAACGAUCUGUAGCGGGUCUGAGAGGAUGAUCCGCCACACUGGGACUGAGACACGGCCCAGACUCCUACGGGAGGCAACAGUGGGGAACAUUGGACAAUGGGGGGAACCCUGAUCCAGCCAUGCCGCGUGUGUGAAGAAGGCCUUAUGGUUGUAAAGCACUUUAAGCGAGGAGGAGGCUUACCUAGUUAAUACCUGGGAUAAGUGGACGUUACUCGCAGAAUAAGCACCGGCUAACUCUGUGCCAGCAGCCGCAGUAA
rnacentral:rRNA from 1 species